GUCUGGGUGGUGUAGUCGGUUAUCACGCUAGUCUCACACACUAGAGGUCCUAGUUCGAACCUGGGCUCAGACA
rnacentral:tRNA from 1 species